AUUGAACGCUGGCGGCAGGCUUAACACAUGCAAGUCGAGCGAGAGGCGGACGGGUGAGUAAUGUCUGGGAAACUGCCUGAUGGAGGGGGAUACCUACUGGAAACGGUAGCUAAUAACGCAUACCAUCAGAUGUGCCCAGAUGGGAUUAUCUAGUAGGUGGGGUAAUGGCUCACCUAGGCGACGAUCCCUAGCUGGUCUGAGAGGAUGCCCAGCACAACUGGAACGUAGACACGUUCCAGACUCCUACGGGAGGCAGCAGUGGGGAAUAUUGCACAAUGGGCGCAAGCCUGAUGCAGCCAUGCCGCGUGUGUGAAGAAGGCCUUCGGGUUGUAAAGCACUUGCAGCGAGGAGGCGUUACUCGCAGAAGAAGCACCGGCUAACUCCGUGCCAGCAGCCGCGGUAAUAC
rnacentral:rRNA from 1 species